rnacentral:hammerhead_ribozyme from 1 species
AUCCGGCUGACGAGUUCCAAAUAGGACGAAACGCUCGUCCUGGAU